rnacentral:rRNA from 1 species
GAUGAACGCUGGCGGCGUGCUUAACACAUGCAAGUCGAACGAAGCACUUUAUUUGAUUUCCUUCGGGACUGAUUAUUUUGUGACUGAGUGGCGGACGGGUGAGUAACGCGUGGGUAACCUGCCUUGUACAGGGGGAUAACAGUUGGAAACGGCUGCUAAUCCCGCAUAAGCGCCCGGCCUCGCAUGAUGCAGUGUGCAAAACUCCGGUGGUAUAAGAUGGACCCGCGUUGGAUUAGCUAGUUGGUGAGGUAACGGCCCACCAAGGCGACGAUCCAUAGCCGACCGGAGAGGGGGACCGGCCACAGGGGGACUGAGACACGGCCCAAACUCCUACGGGAGGCAGCAGUGGGGAAUAGUGCACAAUGGGCGAAAGACUGAUGCAGCGACGCCGCGUGAGCGAAGAAGUAGUUCGGGAUGUAAAGCUCUAUAAGCAGGGAAGAUAAUGACGGUACCUGAAGAAGAAGCACCGGCUAAAUACGUG